UUAAAUUGAAGUUGUUGCUGACAUCACUAUGCAUCACCAGCAUUUCACAAUAUGUCAUCAACUUACAGGGGUGUGCGUGAUGACAUCAGCUUUGUGUGGCAGACUGCCAGCCUGUCAGAAACUCAGCUGAGGGCUGGGACUGUGUUUACCUUUUUACUAUGUAUGUUCAUGCAUUCACUCUGUGGAUUUAGAACAGCAGGGACGGGAGGACAGCACAGCAGUUGCAGGCAGCAGUAAUGACCAGCGAGCGGAGCAGAGGAGCUGUUGAUUAACAGUUUGAACUUCUGUCAGCCAAGCCCAAAAAGAAGCGACUUGCAAGUACUUUCUACAGUGCAGUGCAGCACAACAGAGUCCAGUCCACAAAGCGUCCUCACUACCAGGAAUCCCAGACCCUGCUCAGGAUGAGAAAAUUUACUUUUUUCACUAGCUCAACCUCCUCUGCCUCCAGGUAACCAAUUUUCUCUACAUGGAAGGCAAUCAGCUGUCAUCUUAUGAUAUUACAGCAGAUGGUAAUGUUGCAGUCACUGCUAUGUUAAACCAACCUUACUACAGGCAGUCACAAAGUCUCAGCAAGGAGACACAGAAUAGAUAUAAUAUCCUUGGCAGAAGAGAAGAUGGCCAUCAUUAUGAACAUACAUUGUCUGGCAAAACUGAAAGGCAAUUCCACACAAUACAACGUUGAGUCUGAUGAAAAGUCAGUAACCACAACCCUUUCAGAAAAGCAGUCUUCAUCAAUGUCAUGUGGGUAACUGGCCCUGCUUCAGCUGAUACAGAGGCCGUGUAAACAUCUGACAAGCAUUACAACCAACUAUGAGCCAGUAAGGGAAUUCAAAACAGGGUGAUCCUGUUCCAGGAUAUACAACCGAAGAAGAAAACAAGCCUUCAUUGUUGCUGCUACUGCUUCAGGGCUGUGGAAUUUGUACCAACCAAUAUUAAAGUAUCACAUCUUAAUAUGCCCUCAGAGCUACAUUUAGGAAACAGCUGCUUGAAAUAAGCAAAUAUGCAUGUACAGCAAUAACUCGAAUGUGUGCAUAAUUAUUUUCUGUACAAUCUGAGUCUAGCAGCAGUCCAAUUUGCAAAUGCUGAAUGUAUCUAUACCAUCACUGCAAACAUUACAACACACACUACACAAGCUUAUUCAGAUUACUGACUGAUAAAUGGGGUCCCUUGUAGAAUUCUAUGGACUGUAAUUCUCAUUCACAGAGUUCACAGGGUAUAACAAUGAAUAUGAAGAAGUGUAUAUUAAGUCCAAGGUUGCAUUAUUUCAAAGUACUCCUCCAACCUGGAGGUACAGUGACCACAAAGGUGAUAUACAUAUAUCUAUGGUGCACAGGCUGUGAUGAUUGGGCAUAUAAACCCCAUUGCCACAAAUAUGUCACAGGCAAUGUCCACACUGUUGCAAGCUAAAGAAAUGUCACACUGUACAGCUGAAAAUCAGAGUUAUAAUACAUGGAACUUCUUGGAUUUCAUCAACUUCAGAUUAUUAUUUUGCGUGCGCACACACAAACACACACACACACACACACACACACACACACACACACACAUACACAGAUAUAUUUAUAUAUACAUACAGUAUUUUCCAGAAAAGAGAAAGUUAAAUCUACUACUAUAUUUUCUCCCAAUUCACAAUAAUACUGCCCUUAGAUAGACAGACAUGUCCAAUAAGUCAAAAAUCACAAAAUACUGUUUCCCUUUAAAUAUCUGAAUGGCAACAUUUAGCUCAGAGCAGCCCGUCAUCAACAAGUAGAUACCAGUGGUCUCUACAGUAGAGUUAAUGUACAAACUCUUAAGCUCAUAAACAAAUAAAACACCAACCACAAUAAUUUAAAAUUUAAUUAGUAAAGUUGAAAUAAAUAAGAAAGUUUUCCACUUGAAAAGUAAAUGUAAAUAAGAAUUAUUUUGUGAAAGAAAUAAACACUACUGAUUAGACUGAUGAUGUACAUUAAACUCUAGCAACUAGUUUAGUUCCUAACUG